AGCGAACGCUGGCGGCAGGCCUAACACAUGCAAGUCGAACGAAGCCUUCGGGCUUAGUGGCGGACGGGUGAGUAACACGUGGGAACGUACCUUUUGGCUCGGAAUAACGCAGAGAAAUUUGCGCUAAUACCGAAUGAGCCCUUCGGGGGAAAGAUUUAUCGCCGAAAGAUCGGGCCGCGUUGGAUUAGGUAGUUGGUGUGGUAAAGGCGCACCAAGCCUACGAUCCAUAGCUGGUCUGAGAGGAUGAUCAGCCACACUGGGACUGAGACACGGCCCAGACUCCUACGGGAGGCAGCAGUGGGGAAUCUUGCGCAAUGGGCGAAAGCCUGACGCAGCCAUGCCGCGUGAAUGAUGAAGGUCUUAGGAUUGUAAAAUUCUUUUACCAGGGACGAUAAUGACGGUACCUGGAGAAAAAGCCCCGGCUAACUUCGUGCCAGCCGCCGCAGUAAAAC
rnacentral:rRNA from 1 species